rnacentral:rRNA from 2 species
GGGUUGUGAGGUUAAGCGACUAAGCGUACACGGUGGAUGCCCUGGCAGUCAGAGGCGAUGAAGGACGUGCUAAUCUGCGAUAAGCGCCGGUAAGGUGAUAUGAACCGUUAUAACCGGCGAUUUCCGAAUGGGGAAACCCAGUGUGACUCGUCACACUAUCAUUAACUGAAUCCAUAGGUUAAUGAGGCGAACCGGGGGAACUGAAACAUCUAAGUACCCCGAGGAAAAGAAAUCAACCGAGAUUCCCCCAGUAGCGGCGAGCGAACGGGGAGGAGCCCAGAGCCUGAAUCAGCAUGUGUGUUAGUGGAAGCGUCUGGAAAGGCGCGCGAUACAGGGUGACAGCCCCGUACACAAAAGCGCAUGUGCUGUGAGCUCGAUGAGUAGGGCGGGACACGUGGUAUCCUGUCUGAAUAUGGGGGGACCAUCCUCCAAGGCUAAAUACUCCUGACUGACCGAUAGUGAACCAGUACCGUGAGGGAAAGGCGAAAAGAACCCCGGCGAGGGGAGUGAAAAAGAACCUGAAACCGUGUACGUACAAGCAGUGGGAGCACCCUUUGGGGUGUGACUGCGUACCUUUUGUAUAAUGGGUCAGCG